rnacentral:rRNA from 1 species
GGAGGGUGCAAGCGUUGUUCGGAAUUAUUGGGCGUAAAGAGCGUGUAGGCGGUCCGGUAAGUCAGAUGUGAAAGCCCUGGGCUCAACCCAGGAAGUGCAUUUGAAACUACCAGACUUGAGUACGGGAGAGGAGGGGGGAAUUCCCGGUGUAGAGGUGAAAUUCGUAGAUAUCGGGAGGAAUACCAGUGGCGAAGGCGCCCUCUGGACCGAUACUGACGCUGAGACGCGAAAGCGUGGGGAGCAAACAGGAUUAGAUACCCUGGUAGUCCACGCCGUAAACGAUGAGCACUAGGUGUAGCGGGUAUUGACCCCCCUGCUGUGCCCGUAGCUAACGCAUUAAGUGCUCUGCCUGGGGACUACGGUCGCAAGACUA